GGCGACCUGCACAGGUGCUCGCAUGGCUGUCGUCAGCUCGUGUCGUGAGAUGUUGGGUUAAGUCCCGCAACGAGCGCAACCCUUAUCCCUAGUUGCCAUCAGGUAAAGCUGGGAACUCUGGGGAGACUGCCGGUGAUAAACCGGAGGAAGGCGGGGAUGACGUCAAGUCCUCAUGGCCCUUACAUCCCGGGCUACACACGUGCUACAAUGGCAGGUACAGAGGGCUGCGAAGCCGCGAGGUGGAGCGAAUCCCAGAAAACCUGUCUCAGUCCGGAUUGAAGUCUGCAACUCGACUUCAUGGAGGCGGAAUCGCUAGUAACCGCGAAUCAGCAGGUCGCGGUGAAUACGUUCCCGGGCCUU
rnacentral:rRNA from 1 species